CUUUGAUUACUGUUUGUUUUGUCUGUGUUAUGUCAAAUAGAUUAGAGUGCAUUAUGGUGAAGAGAGAACCAUAUAUGUAAAAAAAGACGACAAAAAGAACAUUUUAUGAACUGCUAAACAAAAGCAAGAGAACAUCUGGGCUGGAUUAUUCUCACAAUAUUUAUAUACACAACAUUUUUAUCGUCAAUAUCGAUAUAUUGCUAUUAUAAAUAAUGGAAUGUGCAAUUAAAUUCAUCAAAAAUAAUAUUCAAAAAUUUGUUUCAGUUUGCUUCGGUGUUUAUUUGCCUCUUAUUCCCCUGUGUAUUUCUUUUCCUAUUUAUCUUUCAAUUUUAGUGAUAUAGACAAUAUGUAAUUGCAUAAAUACAUUUCAAAAUGCAUAAAUGAAUUAAAUAAAAAAUAUAUAAUACAAAGGUAAACUGGAACGGUAUUCUAGAGCGUAGAGUGCAUACCUCCACCAAGGCCCAACAGUCCUAUUUUCAAUCAAACCUCAUCCAAUAUUAAAAUAAAACAUUUAACUCUGCUAAAUUGGAUUUAAAUUUCAAUCCACAUCCAAAUUGUACUCACCCAUAGCAGCCAGCUACCUAAAUAUAGCUUCUUUUGUUCAUCAGGAACAACAAUGCCCACAAUGUUGAAAAAGUGCAAGUAAAGUGGGGUAUUCUGGUUUAAAACCCAUCAUCCGUCCAAAUUUGAUGGAAAUCUACUCAGGAGGUAAUAAAUACAGAAGAGGAUUAAAACUAUUACUAAUCAAAAUAACAUUUUGUGAAUAUCAAUGCCUUCACUUAUUUCUAACACAAUUUUACUGCAUUCGUGGUAAAAUUAGCUAUUUAUUUAUCGCUGUAUUUAUUUUUGACUUGGGCAGUUUCAGUCCUCCAUAUCUACAGUCUCCUGAUGGAAUUUGGCAUUUGUGUCCACACCUGCAAAAACUUGUGAAAGAUGAUUUUUUUUAAACGCUGGAAAAUGUCACGGUAUUCUGAUCCAAAUCACACUUUUCUCCAACCGAACCGUCACAUGUUAAAUGUCAAGCUGCUGCUGCUGCUGCUGCUGAUCCCUCAAAAGAACAUGUUUGGGGGGGAAAAAAAAGAAAAAAAAAAUCUAACUGGGAAAAAAAAAAAAAAUCUGUUUGUUUGCAGAUUGUCAGGAAGAGAGGCAAACACUUCAAUGACAUAAUACUAACGAAUGGAAUCAUGCUCCACAUGUCCAGGACUGUAGCUACAACUGAGGAGCAAGGAAAUAAGGGGCUUUAACCACCUAGCGAGGAAUUUUAAUCACACACACAUAAAUGUGUUUUCAAGAGGUUAAUUCCGCAAUUUCUUCAAUUCAGAAUUUUAAAACAUUUGUUUUGCCUGGUAAAUUAUCAGCAUGUCAUCAAAAUGUAUAAUUUCAGAAAAAAAAAUCGCAUGGUGAAGUAGCAAAAGUAGAAGAAAAAGCUUGAAUCGCAGCUAGCUAGCUUUAGCCUAACCAAGUUAGACCAUUGCAGUUAGGACACUGCUACAGCUAGUCUUAGCCACAGCUAAAUUUUACCGUGUCUUUCCGACCUCUUUCCUGUAACUGCUAAGGCAAUUUUUAGGGUACGAGAUUUAUUCUGUUUUGUCAUCAUACAUAGCCUAAAUAAGUAGCUAAAACAUGACAAAACGGGGUAAUCUAGUUCUGCAAAAAUAACACUAUUAGCCUAGCAUAGCGUGAGCAGCUGUCAUCAACAUCUCAGCCUGACACCAUAAAUGUUAGAUGUUUGUUUCUUAAAUCCUUAAUCCUGUCCAUAGGUAUAUUGUAAAAGGUACAUAAAUUAAAUUCUCAUUUUACCAGUUAGCAUUUGGCUAACCUGCCUCCAGUCACUGCUCUCUGACUCUGUAAGGCAGUAUUGGUCCAGCUUGAAGUACAUUAUCUGCACUUCGGCCAUUGUUGAUAAUAGAGAAAUAAUGUUUUGGGGUGGGUAUUAGGGACAUCGCUCUCAGUACUUCUAAAGCCGUGGCUACAGCCCUGUUCAUGUCGUGCAGUGAAUUAAAAAAUCUCAGAAUAUGAUCUAAAAAAUGUGCCCUGUCCUGUUCAACUUAGGUAUGGAGUUGGGAAAUGGGCUUAUUUGUUUUCUUGCCAAAAGUUAGAUGAAACAAUUGGUGCCACUCUCUGCCAAUGAAUACUCGCACAGCGCUGUUGGACUCAUGAUGGACGACAGCAUCAAAAAAUAGGUGCAGCAGAUCGUGGGAUACUGACCUUUUUAUUCCAUACAUUCUUCUUUUUCUCCUUUAUACAACCUGGUGCCUGCGUUUCCCACAAUGCAACUCAUGUAAAAUUCAUGGAGUUAGCUAGAACCAGGGGUUAAAUAUCCUAGAUUAGCAUAAAGACUGGAAGCAAAGAGAAAAUCAGCUAGCAUGUCUCUUUUUAAAGUAAAUAAAACACACCCACCAACACCUCUCGAGCUCAGUGACGAACACACACAGCACAUUAGUGUUUUUACAUCUCCGUUUGUGUGCAAAUUAAACAAAUGUGGUGUGUUAGUUACUGAGCUUUGGAGGCGUCUUGAGGUCUAGUUAAACUUUGGACAGAGCCAUGCUAGCUGUUCUUUAUGCUAAGCAACCUAACUGCCAAAAUAAAUGUCAGUUAACACCCAACGUUUCUGCAAACAGCUGAUAUAUUUAUCAGUUGAGGCCCUCAUCUUUAUUCAACAUCUUUAUUACAAUGCUAACGUUUCUCUGCGUUCAAUUUUAUGUCACAUAUAGGCACAAAAAAACACACAGUCAGGGUUAGGAAGACAUCACGUUUUGGUUUGAAAUACCUGGUCCUGUCGCCACAAACACGGCAGGAAAAUGUCUUCGGGCCUCAUUGAAAACAUCCAGCGGUUCAAACGGACAAAUGUUAAAAAGUCGACUACGUAUACAAAUGUACAAAUUUAACGUUAUCCGUGGACUUGCAGAAACGUACAAUGCUGACAUUUUACACUUGCACAGCUACGAUAACCGCCUGGUCGCUCUCACUUCCUCUUUAACAUGCUACAGACAUGAGAGUGGUAUCAAUCUGUUCAUCAGGCUCUCAGCAGGAACACUAAAGAGUUUAUUCGCCAAAAAGUGUCACAGGAACAAGUCCUGAAACCCACAAUUUCAGUGACAAAUGGGAGUUAUUACAACUAAGGUUCAAGAACUGGACCACACCAAACCUGUCGCCGACCUGCCACCCAGGUCCAGCCAAUCAAACCACCUGCGUCUAAUCAACUCAACCACCUCCACCGCCCUGAUCCCAUCACCUGUGAAACCUACAUAGGAUCACCCGCAGCCCAGCCUUCGACAUCCCCAUCCAUGGCAAGAAGAUACCACAGAACAAGGACCAGAGCCAUCCAGCACAGGAACCACAGGGGGGAAGAUGAAGCCACGCCUAUUAGGACAUGCGCCCAUCGAGACAUACCCCCACUCUGAGGCCGACCACCCCCCUGGUUUCUAGACGGCCCGGCAAUCCCGCAGCACCUCUAAAAGACCCCUCCUUAUCCACCAACCUUGACCCCUUUUACUCAUCCAGCCACCCUGACCCCUCUUCACUAGCCUCUCCAAAUGUUCCCAUCAUUUAA